GACGAACGCUGGCGGCGUGCUUAACACAUGCGAGUCGAACGGAAAGGCCCUGCUCUUGUGGGGUGCUCGAGUGGCGAACGGGUGAGUAACACGUGAGUAACCUGCCCUUGACUUUGGGAUAACUUCAGGAAACUGGGGCUAAUACAGGAUAGGAGCUCCUGCUGCAUGUUGGGGGUUGGAAAGUUUCGGCGGUUGUGGAUGGACUCGCGGCUUAUGAGCUUGUUGGUGGGGUAGUGGCUUACCAAGGCUUUGACGGGUAGCCGGCCUGAGAGGGUGACCGGCCACAAUGGGACUGAGAUACGGACCAGACUCCUACGGGAGGCAGCAGUGGGGAAUAUUGCAGAAUGGGCGGAAGCCUGAUGCAGCAACGCCGCGUGCGGGAUGACGGCCUUCGGGUUGUGAACCGCUUUCGCCUGUGACGAAGCGUGAGUGACGGUAAUGGGUAAAGAAGCACCGGCUAACUACGUG
rnacentral:rRNA from 1 species